rnacentral:rRNA from 1 species
GCGCAGCAGGCGCGAAAACUUUACAAUGUGCGAAAGCACGAUAAGGGAACUCUGAGUGCCUCCUAAGGAGGCUGUUCAGGUGUCUAAAAAGCACCUGAAGGAAGGGCUGGGUAAGACCGGUGCCAGCCGCCGCGGUAACACCGGCAGCCCGAAGUGGUAGCCACGUUUAUUGGGUCUAAAGCGUCCGUAGCCGGCUGGGUAAG